CUGUAUGCCAUGAGGAGACUCAAGAAGCCCUUUAGAGAGAUGUCCAUGUGGGAAACCAAGCCAUCCAUCAACAGCCAUGAUGAAAAUUUUUAAGUCACUAUAGCUGUAUAACACAUUUGCUAUAUAACAUAUAUGAAGCAAGUCAGUCCUCAUUCCCUUCUUUUUCUUCACAUUUGUUUGUGUGGUUUUACUUGCUGGUCUCGGCUUAUUCACUACUUCCUAAGAGAACCCUUCCUGUCUCCUUAAGUACACUGAAUUCUCCAGUUACAUGGAGGUAUGUUUUCUUCACUGCACAUUUUUGCCAGGAAUCUACAUUGAGUGCGUUUAUUUGACUGAUGUUUGCCUUUUCCAGCAGAUGGUAAGUACCGUAAAGUCACGGAUCAUGUCUAAUAGUGCUCAUCACUACAUACUCCAAGGAUUUCUGUUCCUGGCCCAUUGUAUAUGCUUAAUAAAUGUUUGUAUAGAACACCAAUUACUAUCUGUCUAAAGAGGAUAGGCCUGUUACAUAAAAGAGAAUAUGUUUUUUUUCCUGGCUGCUUGUGUAUAUUGAGAUGGCAAAUUUGUUAGUUGGAGCUGGGGCUGGACUGAAUUGUUUUCAUAAUUUAGGAGAGAGGAAUUUGGUUGGAGUUGGAAUGAUGGAGAAGGGUCAGUGGACAGGAUUAGAAAGGCUGAGAUGCAUGAUGGGGAAAUGGAGCCAGAGGCGCUCUGGAGCUGGUAUGAAAGGAAUAAGGAG
rnacentral:lncRNA from 1 species